GGGGUCAUAGUGUAAUCUGGCUAUCAUCUGGGACUCCAGUUAAAUCCUAGGAUCAGGGUUCAAAUCCCUGUGACCCCA
rnacentral:tRNA from 1 species